CGAUUUUCCAGGUGUGUCCGUCACCCCUUUCUUUGACUGGGAAAGGGAACUCCCUGACCCCUUGCGCUUCCCAGGUGAGGCAAUGCCUCGCCCUGCUUUGGCUCGCGCACAGUGCGCGCACCCACUGGCCUGCGCCCACUGUCUGGCACUCCCUAGUGAGAUGAUCCCGGUACCUCAGAUGGAAAUGCAGAAAUCACCCGUCUUCUGCGUCGCUCACGCUGGGAGCUGUAGACCGGAGCUGUUCCUAUUCGGCCAUCUUGGCUCCUCCCGAUUUUUUAAGCAGAAUUUUUCUUUUCUUAUUGUUGAGUUUUAAGUAUUCUUUGUAUAUUUUGGAGAACAGUCUUUUAACAGAUUUCUUUGUAGUCAAUUAGGACUGCCCAUUAAAGUGGCAGAAUAAGCACAGUGCCUGCUGCUAUGAUGUGAUGGGCCGUGGGAAACACUUUUCGCCUAAAAUCACCUCCUGCAAUGGCCUACUUAAGGCAUUUGAUUCACCUAUGUUAACAAGGGGCUUGUACGUCUCUAUCUUUUGCCAUGGGACAAAGUGCCUUCCUGGAGAAGUUGUUUUUCUCCUAUUGACACCAGGAUUGGCCUAAGGACUUGUGUUGGUCAAGGAAAUAGAUGGAGUUUCACCAUGUAGCCCAGGCUGGUCUUGAACUCCUGGGCUCAAACAAACCACCUGCCUCAGCCUACCAAUGUGCUGGGAUUAUAGGAGUGAGCCACCACACCUGGCGUUAUCUGAGCUUCUUAGUAUGUGCUCCAUCCAUGUAUCAUUCAGAGGUGGAACUCACAUUUCUUCCAAUUUAAGCUGCACCUCCUCAGUGAUGUGGCCCCCCUAAUAGUCCUCUACACAGUGACCCCUCCUCCUUUGGAAUCGUUAUUGUCAUUUGGAACCAUAGUAGCUUGUCUCCAAAGAUGGCCUUCCAGUAACUCAUGCUUCCUGAUGAUCAGGCCCUAAAUAGGUUGUCCUUGUGACUUCCAUCUUGACCCAUAGAAUGUGGUGGAAGUAGCAUUGGAUGACGUCCAAGGUUAGUUCAUAAAAAGCCUUGUGGAUUCUUCCUCAGCCUCUAGAAACACUUGCUCUUGGAGCGUAUGCUUUGAGGAAAUCCAAAUGUCAUAUGAGAUGCCUGAGACCACCUAUCUCAGACUAUUGUGGGAGAGACUACUGUGCUGUGAAGAAGUACAAAGUAGCCAUGUGAAGAUACCAUACGGAGAAAGACAGAUGCCUAGGUAGCCCCUAGCUGUGCCAGCCAUCCCAUCAGAAUCACCACACAUAAGAGUAAAGGAAUCAUUGUGGAUGUCCAGCCUAGUCAAGCCUGUAGAUGAUUCCAGUUCCAGUUGCCAUCUGUCAGUAACUGCCUGAGACCCAAGACAAGAACCACCCAGCUUAGCCCAGUAAAUCCACAGAAUCACGUGUUAUCAUGAUAAUAAAUUGUUUUUUUAAGCAACUAAGA
rnacentral:lncRNA from 1 species